rnacentral:rRNA from 1 species
CCUACGGGGGGCUGCAGUAAGGAAUAUUGGUCAAUGGAGGAAACUCUGAACCAGCCAUCCCGCGUGAAGGAUGAAGGGGCUCUGCCUUGUAAACUUCUUUUGUCUGGGGCGAAAAAGCUCGAUUUAUCGAGAACUGACGGUACCAGAAGAAUAAGCACCGGCUAACUACGUGCCAGCCGCCGCGGUAAUACGGAGGGUGCAAGCGUUAUCGGGGUUAACGGGGGUGAAAGGGUGUGUGUGCGGCUUAGUUGAAAGGCUGUGGCUUAACCAUGGAAUUGCCAUUGAUACUGCAGAGCUUGAAUGAGGUUGAGGUUGGCGGAAUGUGACAUGUAGCGGUGAAAUGCUUAGAUAUGUCAUGGAACACCGAUUGCGAAGGCAGCUGACUGGACCUAUAUUGACGCUGAGGCACGAAAGCGUGGGGAGCGAACAGGAUUAGAUACCCUGGUAGUC